AGGUUCAUUGCGAUCCCAAGGUUCACUGCGGUUUUCCACAAGCCUGUUUCUGCCUAUCACCAUGAGUGAUUCCUCAAUACUCAGAUUUAUCAUCAAGAUCUCAAUUAUAAGCUCAAGUUUUGAUGACAACUUGGCGAUCUGCAGAAAGCACCACCAUGUAAGGAAGUCCAAGACCACUCUGGAAUCAGUCAAGGGUGAAAUGGAGUGAGGCAUACAAGGAUAUGUCUGAUUUUACUCUUGGGAAGGAGGUUGAACAGUGCAAUAUUUCUUCUAUAGGAUUGCAGUGACCAGACAUGCUACUGUAACUCUCAUGGUCAUGUGCUGGAAUUAGCAGAUGUUCAACAAUUUGGCCAUCUCACUGACCUAUUGAUAUCAGAAGACCGCAACAGCUCUGCAAAGCAAGUUGCAAAACAGAAUCCAUGGAACUGGCAGUGACUGGAAACCAAUUGGAAGACUUUGGUCUGUGAUGUAGAGGAGUGGGCAGAGGCAGAAGCAAAGACAACAAAAAACAGAAGUGAUAUGGAUGUCUUCGUCAUAUGGCAUGACUCUGCUGACCCAGCAACAAAGAGGAGGGUGUUCAACAUCAUCCUGCUAGUCAGGAUUCUUCAGGAGAAGCAGUGGAUUCUUGUGGCAGAGAUGGCCAACCACUAUAAAUACCUUUCAACUCAUCCUGGUUCUUUCAAAGAACUUUCCUGCUUGUUUGCUACUGAAAUGUACUUAUUCGACAUGUGGCCUAAACGAAGAGGGGUCUAUGGAUCAUUAUUCUCAAAAAGCAACAAAAUAACUGA